UACAGAGGUCCCGAGCGUUGUUCGGAUUCACUGGGCGUAAAGGGUGCGUAGGUGGUUGUGCAAGUCUGAUGUGAAAUCUCCGGGCUCAACCCGGAAAUGGCAUUGGAAACUGCAUGGCUAGAGGGUUGGAGGGGGGACUGGAAUACUUGGUGUAGCAGUGAAAUGCGUAGAUAUCAAGUGGAACACCGGUGGCGAAGGCGGCCAUCUGGACGGUGACUGACGCUGAGACGCGAAAGCGUGGGUAGCAAACAGG
rnacentral:rRNA from 1 species